AUUGAACGCUGGCGGCAUGCUUUACACAUGCCAGUCGAACGGUAACAGGCCGCAAGGUGCUGACGAGUGGCGAACGGGUGAGUAAUGCAUCGGAACGUGCCCAGUCGUGGGGGAUAACUACUCGAAAGAGUAGCUAAUACCGCAUACGAUCUAUGGAUGAAAGCGGGGGACCGUAAGGCCUCGCGCGAUUGGAGCGGCCGAUGUCAGAUUAGGUAGUUGGUGGGGUAAAGGCUCACCAAGCCAACGAUCUGUAGCUGGUCUGAGAGGACGACCAGCCACACUGGAACUGAGACACGGCCCAGACUCCUACGGGAGGCAGCAGUGGGGAAUUUUGGACAAUGGGCGCAAGCCUGAUCCAGCAAUGCCGCGUGCAGGAAGAAGGCCUUCGGGUUGUAAACUGCUUUUGUACGGAAAGAAACGGCUCUGGUUAAUACCCGGGGCUAAUGACGGUACCGUAAGAAUAAGCACCGGCUAACUACGUG
rnacentral:rRNA from 1 species